ACCCACAGCAACCACAAGGAGAUGAACGGCUGAAUGGCUGGACGGCAUGACCAAGGCUGAACGGCUGAAGGAGAUGAACGACGCUCGACGGCAGUGACGUUCCAGCAUUCUCGGCGGCGUCGACGGCGGUUCCAACAUUCCAGCACUCACGGCGGCGCACUACCGCGGCUCCAGCAGCCACGGCGGCGCAGGUCUCGGCUCCAGCUGGCUCUCCGGCGGUGUUGGUUGCUCACGGUUCUAGCCGUGGGUUCAGGUAUAUAUAUUGCGAGUCACUCUCUCUCUCCCUUUCUGGUUUGGCUCUCAAUCUCUCAUCCUCUCUCAGCUAUGGACUAAGGCUCGAUGAAAAAGGGACAAGCAGGGGCUAAGGUCGACAAUGAAGGGAUAUCGACAGAGCUCUAAUGGCGAGGGCUUGAACGGCGCAGGCGAGGGUCGACUAUGUCUUCAUUGAAGAGGUCGAACAGGGACAAAUAAGAUUUGGUGGUUGAACAUUUGAAGAAUAUUUUCCUAGUUGAGCUUAAUAUCAGAAGUAGGAAAUGGUUAACAGAUAUGGAGUGUUUUGAUUUAGAGAAAAUAUCAUGUUGCAGUGCAUAGAUGGGUUCAAGCAUUUAUUUGCUUCCCUAUUGCGGUGCUUUGAUCUCGAUUUGUAUAACCAAUCAAGAGGCCUAGACGACGAUCCUGCAGUUCUAGCAGAGGAGACAGUGUGUAUGAUUCUGAAUCAAUGAAUAUUCUUUGCUUAUUUUAGACAGAAUUUAAAGUAUGGAAUAAUUGGAAAUUCUUUGCCUAUUUCUGACUAUGACUAAAUUUAAAGUUACUGCUGCUAUCCAACCUUUUCAUAGGACACUAUAAAACCUGUCUAUUGAACAUUGGGGCUUCCUUGUAUGCAGUUAGCGUUAGCGAAAUUGAAGCACUUUAUGAACAUUUUAAGAAGAUCAAUAGUGCUGUGAUUGAUGAUGGAUUAUUCAACAAGGUUUGUUAUCUUUCUAUUCUUUGAGCUAGUUUUUAUCCUCUGCAUGAAUCUGUGUUUGACUUCAACUUAAUUAAUCCAAAUGAUGAUGAUGAUGUGUGCAUUGUUUUUUUUGUUUAGCUAUUAUUUUAUUUUAUUUUUAUUGUCGGCUAGGUGUAUUAUUGUCAUCCAUAAAGUUGGAUCAAUAGAAAGUAAAAAUUGUAUUUAUAAGUUUGAAUUACAAUAUAUUUAUAAUUAAAUAAUUUUUUUAUAAUGUGCAGGUCUAUAUUGAGAUGCAUUUCUUUGGCGCAAUACUAGACAACAUUGACAGUUGAAGUUUUUAGAAUAAAAAAUAUAUUUCACUAACAUUGGAUACAUUUCUUAUUUAUUAUUUGAUGAUGAUAAAAUUUGAUUGUAGUAUAAACUAUCAUAUAAUAUGAUUUUGUAAGCCGAGUAGACUAAAUACUGAAAUUAUAUUUUUGAGUAAUUAAUAAAAAAUUAUUUUGUUGUA